rnacentral:rRNA from 1 species
AACGAACGCUGGCGGCAGGCCUAACACAUGCAAGUCGAACGCCGUAGCAAUACGGAGUGGCAGACGGGUGAGUAACACGUGGGAACAUACCCUUCGGUUCGGAAUAACUCAGGGAAACUUGAGCUAAUACCGGAUACGUCCGCGAGGAGAAAGAUUCAUCGCCGGAGGAUUGGCCCGCGUCUGAUUAGCUUGUUGGUGAGGUAACGGCUCACCAAGGCGACGAUCAGUAGCNGGUCUGAGAGGAUGAUCAGCCACAUUGGGACUGAGACACGGCCCAAACUCCUACGGGAGGCAGCAGUGGGGAAUAUUGGACAAUGGGCGCAAGCCUGAUCCAGCCAUGCCGCGUGCGGGAAGAAGGCC